GACGAACGCUGGCGGCGUGCUUAACACAUGCAAGUCGAACGGAAAGGCCCUGCUUUUGUGGGGUGCUCGAGUGGCGAACGGGUGAGUAACACGUGAGUAACCUGCCCUUGACUUUGGGAUAACUUCAGGAAACUGGGGCUAAUACCGGAUAGGAGCUCCUGCUGCAUGGUGGGGGUGGGAAAUUUUCGGCGGUUGGGGAUGGACUCGCGGCUUAUCAGCUUGUUGGUGGGGUAGUGGCUUACCAAGGCUUUGACGGGUAGCCGGCCUGAGGGGGUGACCGGCCACAUUGGGACUGAGAUACGGCCCAGACUCCUACGGGAGGCAGCAGUGGGGAAUAUUGCACAAUGGGCGGAAGCCUGAUGCAGCAACGCCGCGUGCGGGAUGACGGCCUUCGGGUUGUAAACCGCUUUCGCCUGUGACGAAGCGUGAGUGACGGUAAUGGGUAAAGAAGCACCGGCUAACUACGUG
rnacentral:rRNA from 1 species